GGGAAAUUUGUCGUCGCUGACCAAAAAAUUGCGGGCAGAAACAAAGCUCAUUGCAUUUACAUUCAAAACAAAGCAGAAAGUUAGCAAGAAGCUGUUUUAGCUGACGAUUUUUUGCUUUCCAUUCAACGAUUUGCAAAUUAUUGGUUAUUCUUUUAAAAGUCGAUCAUGAAUUCUUUGUUUUGGGAUGAUUGUUUUGUAAUCGAGUGAUUGGAAGAAGUUAAUUUGGCGACGUGAACAUGGGAGUAAAUACCGUAUACGUCGAUCUAUGGCUUGUUUAAAACCGUAAUAAACGAAGAAAGACGUGAUUUGAGAAUGAAAUGUAAGUUGAAAUUAACUUUAUAUGCCUCAAAUUUUCCAUCCUAUGUUUCAUAAUGUAACUUCAGCUGUCUAAGUUCAAAAUACAAGCUCGCGAAAUUUGACAAAUUUUGAAAAUAUGUAAAAAUAGCUUGACUUUGAACUGUAGUUUCUCAAAAAUAGCCCGUGGCCUCAAUUUCAAAUAUAGCUAAAUGAAAAGAAAAAACUUUUCGGCGUUGGUAGGUAUCAAACAUAUCGUCAGGAAAAUAGGGGCUCACAAUGUUUUAGUUCAGUCUUUGAGACCCAGUUGCUUCGCACGUGUUGUGGUCAAAUUUUUGCCAAGAAUCAAAGGCCGAAAUGUGAACUUCCUUCAUGAAAACCGCUUCGAGAAGGGUCUAGUUUGAAAAUUUAGCUAUUAAUUUCGAUUUCAUGAGCAUAUUUUGGUUACACGUUAAGUAUUUUUGUGCUUGAUGAGAUUCAAAAUUUGUUGUAUAUUCAAGCCCGGCUUUUGUGUAAUUUUGGUGAUGACUGGAACAGAAAUAAAGAUAUUUUAAAAACUGGCCGUGGCCUCACGAUAAAACUUUCUACAAAUGUUCUCUGUUUCAUGUACUUUUAUUUGAUAUCUUAGGUAUAAGCGUAAAAAUAGGGGCUCAUACAGUUUAAGAGGUUGUAAAAUGCAUGACUUGCCUCUAUUUUCAUGUAAACAUUCGAAAUUCUUCGACAGCAAAGUAGCAACUGUUUCAGAUCGAAUGCACACGGACAGCCCACCAGAGACAAUGGCAGGGUACUGAAAUAGAACGUCACUAAAAAAUUCUGUAUGAUUAAUUUAGAUCAUGUCUACUCUUUCAACAUAAAACAGUCAUUUAUUUUGUACAAACAUUUGGC